rnacentral:rRNA from 1 species
UACGUAGGGCGCAAGCGUUGUCCGGAAUUAUUGGGCGUAAAGAGCUCGUAGGCGGUCUGUUGCGUCCGCUGUGAAAACUCGGGGCUUAACCCCGAGCCUGCAGUGGAUACCGGGCAGACUGGAGGUAUGCAGGGGAGAACGGAAUUCCUGGUGUAGGCGGUGAAAAUGCGCAGAUAUCAGGAGGAACACCGGUGGCGAAGGCGGUUCUCUGGGCAUGUCCUGACGCUGAGGAGCGAAAGUGUGGGAGCGAACAGG